GGCCGUUCUCGGGUGACACAUCCUGGAAUCGGGCUCCUUCCUCUCUGGUUCCGAGUGCGUCACCCGAGAACCACA
rfam:Myotis brandtii contig155138, whole genome shotgun sequence.